AGUUGAAUUGAAUGGCCCUGCAUUAUAUGCUUCUGUGCUUGCAUCAAUGAUCCCCAUGAGUAGGGCAAUGGACCUCACACUUCUACAAGGAAGGGUUAAUAUCUUUCUGUGGUAGAGAACAGGUAAAUUAAAAUACAGAAAAAAAAUAAAAAACUACUUAAUUAUAUAUGUGUGGAACGGCAACCCCAUGUUUGGUAGACAAUCCCAGUCGUCCUGAAAAGAUGAGGGUUAAGACAAAGACCAAAAGGGUUGCUCACAAGCAUCCAAAACCAAAUAAUUGGAAGCGAGAGAGCCAGCUAUUGGAGCCAGCCAACACAUGCCCUUGCUUUUGCAUCGUGUGGAUUGGAGUCAUUGCCUCGAACCUUCGAUUUAUUCUUGCACGAUCACCACGCACUUGGCUAGCUCCAUAUCCCCUCAGAGCGUUCUUGGCAUCUUGAGGAAAAAGUGAUACAGAAUUGGAUCGAGGUUGAAGGUGUAAAGAUGGGGUACUGCUGCUCAGAUUCAAAUGAUGAUGAUACGAAGCUAUUAGGGUUUGUGCUAGCUCUUGUCUUGGCAAUGAUGCUGUUGAUUGUUUGCCAUCCACCUCAUGCAAGAAGAGUCACUAUUUAUCACUGCACUUGAAUUGUCUUCUCCACGAUCUUAAUUAUAGGUAAAUAAUUAUGCUUCUGCAGAAGCUCUGAGUGUUUAUUGAAUUAUCUUUAUCGCCAUUCCAAGUGUAACUUGCAACUAAGUUCAACCAUAUAAACGUGUCACUGUGCAUUAAUUUAAUAAAAUGAAGGCGGCGCCACUGUAAUAUUUUUUUUUUUUUGGUUGAUGAAUGAACGAAUUCCUUGUUUAGAAAUUUACAAUGCUAUCACCAUGCCAAUGUUUCACAUAUGGGUUUUAAUUAAUUGGUACAAAUAUUGAUUAGAUCGACAGUGUAGUUUUUUUUUUUAAAAAAAAGAGAAAUGGAAUAAUAGAUAGUAUGGAUUUGAAAUUGAUUAACGAAUUUCUUUUUGUAAUUGAUUGUUUUUUGAUUUUAUCAUUUAUUGUUUGAGUUAAUUGAAAAUUAACCUUCAUAAUUUAUUUUUGUUUGCUUUCUAUGAGAUUAUCUCAGUCUCAUGCAUGAUCCAAGUCAAGGGUUUGGCUGGUUAAAUUGGGUUAACUUGGGUUUGUUUCUAUCCUUUUUAAAUGAUUUGUUUUUCAAUUUCAUCAUUUGAUGUUGGAAUGAUUAGAAAUUGAGUUUCAUGAUUUAUUUUGAUUUGUUUUCUAUUGGGUCAUGGUCUUAUAAUCCAAGUUGGCAAGUUAACUCGGGUUUUUUUUAAUUAUUUAUUUUUAAUUUUAUUCUUCAAAAUUAGGUUGGUUGAGAAUUGGGCUUCAAUAUGUUUUUAUUUUUAUUUUCUUUCUAUGAGGUUAUUAUAGUCUCAUGACCUGAGUCACAGUUUCUACAUGUUAACAUAGGUUAACUCAGGUCGAUUCAAUAUGUUAUUGUCUAAAUAUUUUUUUAAAAAAAUUGUCUUGAAUUUUUUAGUUAAACUAUGUUUUUUUUAGGUAGUCUAUAAUGUUACCCAUUUUUUACCCCAUAAAAAAAUCAAGAAAAUAAAAAAAAAAGAAAAUCCAAAAAUACAAGAGGAUACACAUGAAGAAAGCCUAAAAGAUUGUCAAAAUUGGUGGUGAAUGACCAAAAUGAUAAAUGGAAAAGUAGGAGGACCAUAAUGUAUAAGAUUGACAAAAUUGAUGGCCCAAUUCUGAUUGAUAAAAGACUCAUUCGAUGAUAAUAUUUUUAUUUGGGGUAAAUAAAUACAAAUUUGGAUGAGUAAGGUCUUAAUAAGGAUUUUGAAAGGCUUAAUUAAUUUUAUUGAAGAUUUAAUUGAAAGGAAAAUCAGUUUUUUGGAGUCAAUUGGAAGAAAUUGAAGUUUGGGGACUGAAAUUGACCUUUGAAAAGUUUAAUUGGUCAAAUUAGUGGGUUUAAUUAUGAAAAAAAUAAAAGUUUGAUAGCUAAUUAGAGAUUUGAUAAAAGAAAUUUAAAACCAAGGAUCAAAUCAUAAAAGACGCAAGACUUCAAGAGCUGAAAUUGACCAAAUCAGGGGUCAAGUUAAAGAAAAUUAAAAGUUUGAUGGUCAAUUAAGGAUCCAAAUGCACAAAUCAGAAACCAAAAACCAAGAUGAAAAUGACAUUAAACUUUAGGGCUGAUGAUUGAGUUUGACAAGAGUGAAAUUGCAUGAAAUUAAAAGUUUGUGAGGCAAUUACAGGUGCAAUUAAAAGCAAUUGGAAGAGCAGGUACUAAAAUAAAAUCUAUUAGAUCCCAAAUUAAAAACUCUAAUUUCUAGGGGUUAAACCUAGACGACGUGUCGUUCAACCACUGUUCAUCACUUUCCUUGACAGUUGUGAAUGAUCGAGUUGACACCUUCCAAGAGCUCGUUAUGAAGUUCUAAACCUCCAAAUGACAUGAGGUUUUUUUAUAAAUGGAAGAAAAGCAUCCCUUCUAUAGCCCUAUUUUCAUGAAAUUGGACGUUUAUAUCCUAAUUCUUCCAUCAAAGUCUCUAACAUCUUGUCUCUAAUAAGCCAUCACUGCAUUUUCAAAUUUUAGGUUGAUUGAGUUAGCACUUUUAAACAAAUAAAUAUGGAGUUACAGACCUCUAAAUGGAGCAAUGAUAGAUCCAAAAGAAAGGCGUACAACUCCUCUACCAAGUUCAGGGGGUCUCCGAUGAUGUUUACAUUAGAGUUUUUUUAGCAAAGCCUCAAAAGUGGAAAACUCAAUCAAUCUUGAUUGAGAUACUCAUUUGUGUAAAACCACCUAACAUUUUCACGUGUUCACACUUAAAAACUCCCAAAAGGUUCUUAUCAAGGGCUAUAAAUCUUUCAUCCAAGAUCAGAAGGUGAGAAAUGUAUGUUUUUAUCUCCAAGAAAGAGAAAACCACUUAGGUAAAACCAUCAUCCCCAAAAAACCAUUGAAGGACAAAGGUUCCAGUUAUUAACAUUUCUCUAUGGCUCUCUCAUCUUAAUCAAAUGAUUGAGAUUUGAUCAAUCGUUGAGAGAAUCCAUAAAAAAAACUUAGAAAAACCCUAUAAAUACUCCUAGAAAUUAAAAAAAAAACAGAGAGAGAAGAGAGAAAAGUGAGGAUAUACUUUGUUACAAAGGAUCCUAGUGUGAGGGUUCAAAGACCUAACAUAGAAGGUCAUGCAAGCUUUGAAAAAAAUAAAAAGUGAAAAGGAAAGAAGGAAAGAAAAGAUAAGGGAAGUAUCAGCCUAUAGCCAGCAAGCUUGUAGAAGGUAUAACCAUGUAAAAACUCAAGAGUAGAGUCCAUGUGGUCUGCCCAUUCAUACUUUUUCAAUGUUUAACGUUGUUUUUGAAUAUUUUUGGUAUUAUUUUGUGUUUUAACAUUUAUAUGGGUUAAUGAAUGAAAAUGUUGUUUUGAUUGAUUAAUCUUAUUUUGAAGUUGUUGUAAAUGUUGUUGGGAUGUUUAAUAGGUGUUUGUGUUUGAUUUUGAUGACAAAUGGUAGUUUUGGAAUCUGAAAAAGGUAGCAGUAGGUGUUUGAUGGCUUUUUGUUAGGUUGAUAAUGCAUGUUCUUGAUUCUUGAGUUUAGUUAAGGUCUCAGGUGUUUAAAGAGUCAGUUUUGGAUUAAGUUUUGAUGUUUUUAUUGGCUGAUAAUAGGAUUGCAGUUUUGAAAGUUGAAAUCUUAUACAUGAUCUUGAUGAUUCGAGGCUAUUUGUUAGCUAUUCAAACAUGUUUGUUUAUAAUAAUAUGGCUUGUUGGGGUUAAGAAAGCUUGGUCUAGAGGCCUAAAAUUUAUUUCUGGGCUUGACAAUGUAUGUUAGAUUUUCUUCAUGUUUAUCCAAAGAAUAUUGUCUUGAGUGUUAAUUGUAGAUUUUAUUUUGAUUUGAUUUUGGUUUUUACAAGUUCGUAUAUCAUCAUUAGGUGAAACCUUGGUUUUUUGUUCGAUUCAUGGUUGAACCAAUGUUUUUGGUUUACUCGGUCUAGUUAAAAAUCGGGUCAAAUGCUUAAGGUUUUGUUUGGUUUGCCACUAUUUUGAUAAAAAAAUUUUGGCUUAAUGGCUUAUUUGACAAACACUUCCUUAGGCGUGUUUUGAUAAUUUAUUUUGAACAAAAAUAUGAUUUUGCAAAACAUGGCUCUAUAAAAAAAUUAAAAUAAAAAAAUAUUUUUCGCUUGUUGUAUAUAGUCCGAUCUUGAUAGAAAUGAGAGAUUUUUUAGCAUGGUUUUUAGAAAAAUACAUUUGUUGAUUUUUCUUCACAUUUUUUGGAAUUUACACCAAAUUUAUAAAAUUCUUUAAGAAUUUAGCCAAUAUUUCAACUUUAAAAUUUUAAUUCAUGAUAACAACAUCCUCGUAUAAAUGUUCAGGUGGGAGAACGCUCUACAAUUAUGCAAGAACUUGUUUUAAAAUAUCUAAGAGUUGUGCUCGUCCUUCCUAUAUUCUUAUAAAAGGAAAGACUAUGAAUGUUUUGGAACUAUAAUGGAGGAAUUGUAAUGAAAAAAAUAGAGAAAUUAAAAUGAUAUUUUAAUUAUAAUAUUGUUUUUGAAAUAAUAACAAGAAAUCGUAAUAAAAUCUAAAUUCUUAUUAUCUUGUUUUUUAAAUAAAAAUAAUAAUUAUAAGAUGAUUUCAUUGCGAUGACAAUAAAAGAAAAGGUGAUGAUGUAAUAGUAAUAACAACAACAAUAAUAUAAUUUUUAAAAAAUUCAUGUUAAUAAUGAUUUUCAUUUCUUUACUUCCAACCAAAUAACUACCCAAAAAAAAAAAAAAAACUUUCAUUUUCGUUCCCACUAUUCUAUUCAUUAUUAUAAACUCCACCUAAAUCUCUGUCCCAAUUAAGCGAAGCACAAGUUUACAACGAAUGCGCACAAAAGAACGAAGAGAGAAGAAAUGACUAGUCUGUUCUGCUCAAGUUGGAGGAGUUGAAAACAAGGGAUUGCUGUAAUUUGGAGGUUCUUGAGAUAUCUGGCGGUGAAUCUCACCAUAUUUGUAAAGAUCAGUGGGCCAAAAGUAGAGAGUGGUUUUUUUCUAAAACCUCCCAGUGUUAACGAAGUAUCUCUUGGGAUUCGUUUUUGUGACUACAGUGUAUCUGAGAUACGUCAGCUGUCAAGUUAACUUUGACAGCCACAAACUCUUCAGGUGAGCCUGGACAGCACUCCUGCAUCAAGCUCAGGUGCUUGAUCUUCACAUUCCUGAGCUAAGCGGUGUAACGCACACGGAAAUUAAGGUUAAUAUAUGUUAUUCCCACAGCCUUCUCUGUUCUGCUGGCUCCUUUCUUGCAAAGAUUUACGUUGAAGGUUAGUUUCUUGCUAGUCUAGAUAUGAUUUUAGCCAAGUUUUCGAGCAUUUGCUCCAUAGAAAAGAUAUCAAUAAGAGUGACUUUGUACGGAUUUCAUUGUCAAAACUCUUUUAAAUGUCAUCACAGCAUUAGCAUGUGAGAGGAGGCUUGUGUUUUGCCAUUACAACA